rnacentral:rRNA from 1 species
GGGGGUACACGAGUGGCGAACGGGUGAGUAACACGUGAGUAACCUGCCCACAACUUUGGGAUAACGCUAGGAAACUGGUGCUAAUACUGGAUAUGUGCUCCUGCUGCAUGGUGGGGGUUGGAAAGCUCCGGCGGUUGUGGAUGGACUCGCGGCCUAUCAGCUUGUUGGUGGGGUAGUGGCCUACCAAGGCGGCGACGGGUAGCCGGCCUGAGAGGGUGACCGGCCACAUUGGGACUGAGAUACGGCCCAGACUCCUACGGGAGGCAGCAGUGGGGAAUAUUGCACAAUGGGCGCAAGCCUGAUGCAGCAACGCCGCGUGCGGGAUGACGGCCUUCGGGUUGUAAACCGCUUUCAGCAGGGACGAAGCUUUUUGUGACGGUACCUGCAGAAGAAGCACCGGCUAACUACGUGCCAGCAGCCGCGGUGAUACGUAGGGUGCGAGCGUUGUCCGGAUUUAUUGGGCGUAAAGGGCUCGUAGGCGGUUGAUCGCGUCGGAAGUGGAAACUUGAUGCUUAACGUUGAGCGUGCUUUCGAUACGGGUUGACUUGAGGAAGGUAGGGGAGAAUGGAAUUCCUGGUGGAGCGGUGGAAUGCGCAGAUAUCAGGAGGAACACCAGUGGCGAAGGCGGUUCUCUGGACCUUUCCUGACGCUGAGGAGCGAAAGCGUGGGGAGCAAACAGGCUUAGAUACCCUGGUAGUCCACGCUGUAAACGGGGGGUACUAGGUGUGGGGUCCAUUCCACGGAUUCUGUGCCGUAGCUAACGCAUUAAGUACCCCGCCUGGGGAGUACGGCCGCAAGGCUAAAACUCAAAGGAAUUGACGGGGCCCCGCACAAGCGGCGGAGCAUGCGGAUUAAUUCGAUGCAACGCGAAGAACCUUACCUGGGUUUGACAUGGAUCGGAAGCUUCCAGAGAUGGUUGUGCCUCUUUUGGGGUCGGUUCACAGGUGGUGCAUGGCUGUCGUCAGCUCGUGUCGUGAGAUGUUGGGUUAAGUCCCGCAACGAGCGCAACCCUCGUCCACUGUUGCCAGCAAUUCGGUUGGGGACUCAGUGGAGACCGCCGGGGUCAACUCGGAGGAAGGUGGGGAUGACGUCAAGUCAUCAUGCCCCUUAUGUCCAGGGCUUCACGCAUGCUACAAUGGCCGGUACAGUGAGUUGCGACAUCGUAAGGUGGAGCGAAUCUCAAAAAGCCGGUCUCAGUUCGGAUUGGGGUCUGCAACUCGACCUC